rnacentral:rRNA from 1 species
ACUCCUACGGGAGGCAGCAGUGGGGAAUAUUGCACAAUGGGCGCAAGCCUGAUGCAGCAACGCCGCGUGCGGGAUGACGGCCUUCGGGUUGUAAACCGCUUUCAGUAGGGACGAAGGGUGACUGACGGUACCUACAGAAGAAGGACCGGCUAACUACGUGCCAGCAGCCGCGGUAAU